GCACAAGCGGUGGAGCAUGUGGUUCAAUUCGACGCAACGCGAAGAACCUUACCCAGGCUCGAACGGCAUUGGACAUCCUGCGAAAGCAGGCUCCCGCAAGGGCCGAUGUCGAGGUGCUGCAUGGCUGUCGUCAGCUCGUGUCGUGAGAUGUUGGGUUAAGUCCCGCAACGAGCGCAACCCUUGUCCGCUGUUGCCAUCACGUUAUGGUGGGCACUCUGCGGAGACUGCCGGUGAUAAACCGGAGGAAGGUGGGGAUGACGUCAAGUCAGCAUGGCCUUUAUGUCUGGGGCUACACACGUGCUACAAUGGCCGGUACAAACCGUCGCGAUACCGCAAGGUGGAGCUAAUCGGAGAAAGCCGGUCUCAGUUCGGAUUGCAGGCUGCAACUCGCCUGCAUGAAGUUGGAAUCGCUAGUAAUCGCGGAUCAGCACGCCGCGGUGAAUACGUUCCCGGGC
rnacentral:rRNA from 1 species